rnacentral:lncRNA from 1 species
UAAAUAAGCAUUAGUAUAUUUAAUAUCCUGGUAUCACACCCAUUCCAACCACAAGUUGGCUAUCCACUUACGCAACACAUUAAUAACCUAUAACAAGUUAAUGCAUUACAUGGUAAAAAAAAAUCAGCAAAUAAUGUGACAAGGAAAUGAUGUGAAAUCUAACCCAUAUUUGGCAACUCACACACACAUAACUAUUAACACAACAUACAGCUCACAAAUGUAAUACACAAUUAUUAAGAAUACAGCAAAUGAGGUACACCAUUUUCACACUUUUUUGGCCAUCAGCUGGCCACACACCCACACAAAGUUGAUCCACACACCAGAAAUAGCAACCCAUGUUUCUUUAGCAAUGUUUUAAGUUUAACACCAUAGUCCCCUAGAAGGCUGUUUAAUUCCUCUCCCUUUUUUUGCCUUGUAACCUUUCCAUUUAUUCCCAUAU